UACGGGGGGAGCAAGCGUUGUUCGGAUUUACUGGGCGUAAAGGGCGCGUAGGCGGUCAGCACAAGUCAGUUGUGAAAUCUCCGGGCUUAACUCGGAACGGUCAGCUGAUACUGCUUUGCUAGAGUGCAGAAGGGGCAAUCGGAAUUCUUGGUGUAGCGGUGAAAUGCGUAGAUAUCAAGAGGAACACCUGAGGUGAAGACGGGUUGCUGGGCUGACACUGACGCUGAGUGCGCGAAAGCUAGGGUAGCAAACGGG
rnacentral:rRNA from 1 species